rnacentral:rRNA from 1 species
UACGUAGGGGGCGAGCGUUGUCCGGAGUUACUGGGCGUAAAGCGCACGCAGGCGGUCUGUUAAGUUUGGAGUGACAGUUGGUGGCUUAACGGCCAAAGUGCUUCGAAAAACUGACAGACUUGAGGGCUUCAGAGGGACACGGAAUUCCGGGUGGAGUGGUGAAAUGCGUAGAGAUCCGGAGGAACACCAAAGGCGAAGGCAGUGUCCUGGGGAGUACCUGACGCUCAGGUGCGAAAGCCAGGGGAGCGAACGGGAUUAGAGUACCCC